rnacentral:rRNA from 1 species
GUGCCAGCCGCCGCGGUAAUACAUAGGGGGCGAGCGUUGUCCGGAAUGACUGGGCGUAAAGGGUGUGUAGGCGGCUUCGCAAGUUGGAAGUGUAAUACCUAGGGCUUAACUCAGGUGCUGCUUCCAAAACUGCGAGGCUUGAGUGUCGGAGAGGAAGAUGGAAUUCCUAGUGUAGCGGUGGAAUGCGUAGAUAUUAGGAGGAACACCAGAGGCGAAAGCGAUCUUCUGGACGAUAACUGACGCUGAGGCACGAAAGCGUGGGGAGCAAACAGGAUUAGAUACCCUGGUAGUCCACGCCGUAAACGAUGGAUACUAGGUGUAGGGGGUAUCGACUCCCCCUGUACCGCAGCUAACGCAAUAAGUAUCCCGCCUGGGGAGUACGGCCGCAAGGUUGAAACUCAAAUAAAUUGGCGG